AUGGGGGAUUCGUUCAAUGAUCAUAGUGGACAAAGAUCCAGCCAUGUCAGUCAAACUCCCAAGACCAUAUCAGUCCAGGAGGGUGACAAAGUGACUUUCAAUUGUUCACUUCUUUCCGAGACCAAAGAAAGCACUGAGCAGUGUUCAGGUGAUAACGGAGUGUACUGGUUUAGAGUUGCAGAAGGAGAAUCCCAUCCAAACUUUGUUUAUGCUCCGACAAAGUGUAAUUAUUCACACGAAAAAAAGAGCUGUGAAUACAGAAUGUCCAAAACUAUCCAGACCUCCGAAGACAUUGGGAAUUACUAUUGUGCUGUGGUCACAUGUGGAAAGAUCCUGGUUGGUCAAGGAACACAAGUAGAUACAGAAAAUGAAGGUUUGUAA